AUGGGAACGCGAAGAACCUUACCUACUCUUGACAUCCAGAGAACUUUCCAGAGAUGGAUUGGUGCCUUCGGGAACUCUGAGACAGGUGCUGCAUGGCUGUCGUCAGCUCGUGUUGUGAAAUGUUGGGUUAAGUCCCGCAACGAGCGCAACCCGUUAUCCUUUGUUGCCAGCGGUUAGGCCGGGAACUCAAAGGAGACUGCCAGUGAUAAACUGGAGGAAGGUGGGGAUGACGUCAAGUCAUCAUGGCCCUUACGAGUAGGGCUACACACGUGCUACAAUGGCGCAUACAAAGAGAAGCGACCUCGCGAGAGCAAGCGGACCUCAUAAAGUGCGUCGUAGUCCGGAUUGGAGUCUGCAACUCGACUCCAUGAAGUCGGAAUCGCUAGUAAUCGUAGAUCAGAAUGCUACGGUGAAUACGUUCCCGGGUCUUGUACACACCGA
rnacentral:rRNA from 1 species